rnacentral:rRNA from 1 species
GACGUAGGGCGCGAGCGUUUGUCCGGAUUUAUUGGGCGUAAAGAGCUCGUAGGCGGCUUGUCGCGUCGUCCGUGAAAACCCACAGCUCAACUGUGGGCUUGCGGUCGAUACGGGCAGGCUAGAGUUCGGUAGGGGAGACUGGAAUUCCUGGUGUAGCGGUGAAAUGCGCAGAUAUCAGGAGGAACACCGGUGGCGAAGGCGGGUCUCUGGGCCGAUACUGACGCUGGAGGAAGCGAAAGCGUGGGGAGCGAACAGG